rnacentral:rRNA from 1 species
CCUACGGGAGGCAGCAGUGGGCGAUAUUGCACAAUGGGGGAAACCCUGAUGCAGCGACGCCGCGUGGGUGAAGAAGCGCCUCGGCGCGUAAAGCCCUGUCAGCAGGGAAGAAAAUGACGGUACCUGAAGAAGAAGCCCCGGCUAACUACGUGCCAGCAGCCGCGGUAAUACGUAGGGGGCAAGCGUUAUCCGGAUUUACUGGGUGUAAAGGGGGCGCAGACGGCGAUGCAAGCCAGGAGUGAAAGCCCGGGGCCCAACCCCGGGACUGCUCUUGGAACUGCGUGGCGAGAGUGCAGGAGGGGCAGGCGGAAUUCCUGGUGUAGCGGUGAAAUGCGUAGAUAUCAGGAGGAACACCGGUGGCGAAGGCGGCCUGCUGGACUGCAACUGACGUUGAGGCCCGAAAGCGUGGGGAGCAAACAGGAUUAGAUACCCCAGUAGUC